UACGGGGGGGGCAAGCGUUGUUCGGAAUUACUGGGCGUAAAGGGUUCGUAGGUGGCCCGCUAAGUCACACGUGAAAUCCCUCAGCUUAACUGGGGAACUGCGUGUGAGACUGGCAGGCUUGAGUGCAGGAGAGGAACGCGGAAUUCCAGGUGUAGCGGUGAAAUGCGUAGAUAUCUGGAGGAACACCGGUGGCGAAGGCGGCGUUCUGGACUGUAUCUGACACUGAGGCACGAAAGCGUGGGGAGCAAACAGG
rnacentral:rRNA from 1 species